rnacentral:rRNA from 1 species
GACGUAGGGCGCGAGCGUUGUCCGGAUUUAUUGGGCGUAAAGAGCUCGUAGGCGGCUUGUCGCGUCGACUGUGAAAACCCGGGGCUCAACCCCGGGCCUGCAUUCGAUACGGGCAGACUAGAGUUCGGUAGGGGAGUCUGGAAUUCCUGGUGUAGCGGUGAAAUGCGCAGAUAUCAGGAGGAACACCGGUGGCGAAGGCGGGUCUCUGGGCAACAACUGACGCUGAGGAGCGAAAGCGUGGGGAGCGAACAGG